UCAAGCUCUAUAAUUUUUAGCAAAACCAGUCCUAGUUGAUAUCGGAAUACUUAAGUUGAUUGGCGUGGAAGGCGAGUCUCUUGCGGCUAUCUUCUCAAAAUUUCCAACUCCCAGAACUAAAAAUUAUUUUUGAUAUCACUAUUACUAACUACCAAGCGAUAUCUAGUUCAUAAUGAAGUUCCUUGCGUUCCUCACGCUAACAACACUGGUUUUGUCGAUUGUGGCUGUGCCCUUCCCAAGAGAAGACUUUGCCAGCGAGAUUAGGAAAUCCGGUUAUUACGACGAAGCUGCUCCUCGUGAAGAGAAAAGAGCUCCUCCUUGUAUCAAUGCUGGUGGCCAAUUUUAUUGCCAUCUAGAAGUAUAUUACGAGAGAUCCUGCGUAUAUCAACAAGGAAUCAUGGUACAGAAAUGCAGAAAAAUGUGUGGAUUUUGUUAGGCCGGACGCUGUGUAAAGAGUUGUCUAUUUCCUGUAUAUUGAAAGCUUUGUAGCUGUGGAACCAUGAGAAAGUGGAAGUCAGAACGUGUUUCAAAACUCGUUUAAAUAAUCAAGCUAAAUCGUACGAAAUUCAAGUCCUCUUCUUUUUGUUCAUUAACUGAUGAUGAACGCUGACAAAAUGUGAGUUUCAAAUUCCGUUCAAUAAAAUAGCAAAACAGCGAAAA